rnacentral:tRNA from 1 species
GCAGGAUGUCUGAUUUUAGGUGAGUGGCUGUAAACCACUUUAGGGCGAAAUUUAGCUUCGUCUCUUGCG